rnacentral:rRNA from 1 species
UUUUCCUACGGGAGGCAGCAGUGGGGGAUAUUGCACAAUGGGGGAAACCCUGAUGCAGCGACGCCGCGUGGGCGAAGAAGUAUUUCGGUAUGUAAAGCUCUAUCAGCAGGGAAGAAAAUGACGGUACCUGACUAAGAAGCCCCGGCUAACUACGUGCCAGCAGCCGCGGUAAUACGUAGGGGGCAAGCGUUAUCCGGAUUUACUGGGGGUAAAGGGAGCGUAGACGGCAGAGCAAGUCUGAAGUGAAAGCCCGCGGCCCAACUGCGGGACUGCUUUGGAAACUGCCCGGCUAGAGUGCUGGAGGG